rnacentral:piRNA from 1 species
UGUUUAGCGAAAUAAAUGGGG